GUGUCAGCCGCCGCGGUAAGACGAACCGUCCAAACGUUAUUCGGAAUUACUGGGCUUAAAGGGUGCGUAGGCGGCGCGGAAAGUUGGGUGUGAAAUCCCUCGGCUCAACCGAGGAACUGCGCCCAAUACUACCGUGCUUGAGGGAGAUAGAGGUGAGCGGAACUUAGGGUGGAGCGGUGAAAUGCGUUGAUAUCCUAAGGAACACCGGUGGCGAAAGCGGCUCACUGGAUCUCUUCUGACGCUGAGGCACGAAAGCUAGGGUAGCGAACGGGAUUAGAAACCCCCGUAGUCC
rnacentral:rRNA from 1 species